rnacentral:lncRNA from 1 species
CAACCAUUCUAUAUGAGGCUAUACAAUUGAUGAAUUGGCGCUACACCAUAAAGUCAGUAUAUUUUCAUUUUUAGAACUACUUACAUGGAUCAAGGGAAGGUUAGGUUGCAUAUGGAAAGCAUGCAAGUUAGCAAAGUUGAUUAGGGACCAAGUCCAAGUAUUCCUAAAGUGUUCUCCAAGCCACCACAUCACUUUUGGCUCAAGGAAAGAAAGAGUCAAGUCCAACACAUUUUGGAAGUUCAAUUUGAACCACAGAAUAGUCCUAACUUGCAAUAGUCACCAUGGCUUCAUACGAAAUCCGAUUAGGAUGUUCUAGCACUUUGUGAAAACCUUAUCAAGUCUACUUUCCAAUGGAUCUAACCUCAGCUUCAUAUCUUCUUGGAGCCUGCCGCAAUAGUCAUUUUACUCUGGAGACCUUUUCUAUCCACAAGUGAUGUGACACCUAUUUUUGGCCAAUGGACCAUGCAUCAUGUUGGCCAAUGUAAGUUUAGCUGCUGCUACUUUCUUGUAGACGCAUGUGUCGGCUAGACCCUCAAUUCAGAACACCACCUUUCAUGUGUAAAAGAUCUGAACCUUCAUCUCAUAUUUGCAAUUGGGUGCUUGUUCUAUUUUGUAACACCCUAAAAUUUGCAUACUUUUAAAAUAGGAUAAUUUGAUUUAAUUAUAUUUUUGUGACCAUUGAAUUUAGAGGAAUAAUAUUUUCAAUAAUUUCAAAUCAACUAUGUAACACCCAAAAAUUUGAUCUCAAUUAAUAGGAAUUAAUUUGAUUUAAUUAAGUAUUUUUGUGAGCAUUUAAAUUAGUAAAGAAAUAAAUUUUGUUGAAAUUAAAAUUCAACAUAGGGAUAGAAACAUGUUUUUGCACUCAUGUUGGAGCAUAUUUAAUUUUUUGGAUGUGUGGUUUGACUCAAAACUUAAAUGGAUUCAAAAUCCUUUUGAAAAAGGCUUUCAAAAAAAAGAAAAAAAAAGAAAGAGGCAAGGACCUUAGCCAGCACCCAGCCCAACUCCCCCUCGGCCCACUCCCUCUAACUUCUCCACCGCAGCCCGAGUCUCCCCCUGGCCCCUUUUCUCUCGCUCGGCCCAACUGGCGGCCCAAAGCAUGGCCAGCCAGGCGCUCCCUCCUCUCUCUCUGACCGCGCGGGCCCACCUGUCAGUGCGCGCUGUUCUUCUUCUUCACGUCAUGACUGAGCCGAUUUCCUCCAACGAAUCCUCCCCUAUCCCGAUUUGUGCGGGAUUUGCCUUCCUUGACCCCCUAUAAAGUCUCCAGCUUCACCCCGCGUGUUGUUUUCCCCACCUGAGCGCUCUUUCCAAGCCCUAGCCGCAGCAGCUACGCGUUCGGAUCUCGCCAGCACCUUUCUCCGCCACCGCGAGCGCCACGUCUCCUUUAUGCGCUCUCGGCUCGAGUUCAGUGCCUAGGUGAGCUCGCGACCUUCUCCUCUAUCUCCCCACGGCCUUGGCUUCGUUCUUGGUGCUCGGAG